CAGCCGCCGCGGUAAUACGAAGGGUGCAAGCGUUACUCGGAAUUACUGGGCGUAAAGCGUGCGUAGGUGGUUGUUUAAGUCUGCUGUGAAAGCCCUGGGCUCAACCUGGGAAUUGCAGUGGAUACUGGGCGACUAGAGUAAGGUAGAGGAUAGUGGAAUUUCCGGUGUAGCAGUGAAAUGCGUAGAGAUCGGAAGGAACAUCUGUGGCGAAGGCGACUAUCUGGGCCAUUACUGACACUGAGGUACGAAAGCAUGGGGAGCAAACAGGAUUAGAUACCCCUGUAGUCCCUGUCUCUUAUAC
rnacentral:rRNA from 1 species